AUUAGUGAAUAUAGGACGUCCAACUUAACUUGGAGUCCGAACUCUCACUUUCUAACCCUGUGCAUUUGUUUGGGAUAGUAACUCUCGCAAGAGGGCGAACUCCUAUUCACUUAUAAACACAAAGUCUAUGAAUGUAUUAAAUUUUAUAACAAAAUAAAACUUUCAACAACGGAUCUCUUGGCUCUCGCAUCGAUGAAGAACGCAGCGAAAUGCGAUAAGUAAUGUGAAUUGCAGAAUUCAGUGAAUCAUCGAAUCUUUGAACGCACCUUGCGCUCCAUGGUAUUCCGUGGAGCAUGCCUGUUUGAGUGUCAUGAAUACUUCAACCCUCCUCUUUCUUAAUGAUUGAAGAGGUGUUUGGUUUCUGAGCGCUGCUGGCCUUUACGGUCUAGCUCGUUCGUAAUGCAUUAGCAUCCGCAAUCGAACUUCGGAUUGACUUGGCGUAAUAGACUAUUCGCUGAGGAAUUCUAAUCUUCGGAUUAGAGCCGGGUUGGGUUAAAGGAAGCUUCUAAUCAGAAUGUCUACAUUUUAAGAUUAGAUCUCAAAUCAGGUAGGACUACCCGCUGAACUUAAGCAUAUCAANNAGCGGAGGAA
rnacentral:rRNA from 1 species